UUACGGGAGGCAGCAGUGGGGAAUAUUGGACAAUGGGCGCAAGCCUGAUCCAGCCAUGCCGCGUGAGUGAUGAAGGCCCUAGGGUUGUAAAGCUCUUUUGUGCGGGAAGAUAAUGACGGUACCGCAAGAAUAAGCCCCGGCUAACUUCGUGCCAGCAGCCGCGGUAAUACGAAGGGGGCUAGCGUUGCUCGGAAUCACUGGGCGUAAAGGGUGCGUAGGCGGGUUUUUAAGUCAGGGGUGAAAUCCUGGAGCUCAACUCCAGAACUGCCUUUGAUACUGAAGAUCUUGAGUCCGGGAGAGGUGAGUGGAACUGCGAGUGUAGAGGUGAAAUUCGUAGAUAUUCGCAAGAACACCAGUGGCGAAGGCGGCUCACUGGCCCGGUACUGACGCUGAGGCACGAAAGCGUGGGGAGCAAACAGGAUUAGAUACCCUGGUAGU
rnacentral:rRNA from 1 species